GAAUCCCAAGAAGCCCUCCUAGCAUGUGCUCUGAUGCAGCACCGCUGUGCUAACUGGAAGGGGCUGACCCUCAGCUGUAGUUCAAUCUUUCUCCUGCAAAUAUGGAGUCUGUUUUGGUGUGCACACGGGUACAGUUGACUGCAUUUCCUUCUGAGAGUUCUACUAAAAUUGUCUGGAUCUCCUCAUUUCUCUCCUGCUAAUAUUGAAAGAUCAGCUAAAUUGAAGAUGGCUUGAACUAAGUCAAAUUCUGUUGACUCCACUUCAUCAUCUGUGGCUAAAAAAAAAAAAAAAAAUCAGAAGUAAUCGUGAAGAACAUUUGACCAUUACUCUCUCAUGUUUAAAAUCCUUUGGUGACUCUCUAAGAGCCAAACACUAAAUAAAGUCUUGCAGAGCACUCUAAAAUUGUUUUCA
rnacentral:lncRNA from 1 species